rnacentral:rRNA from 1 species
UUGGAGGGCAAGUCUGGUGCCAGCAGCCGCGGUAAUUCCAGCUCCAAUAGCGUAUAUUAAAGUUGUUGCAGUUAAAAAGCUCGUAGUUGAAUUUCGGGGUUAGUAGGUUGGUCAUGCCUCUGGUAUGUACUGGUCUCACUGAUUCCUCCUUCCUGAUGAAUCUUAAUGCCAUUAAUUUGGUGUUUUGGGGAAUUUGGACUGUUACUUUGAAAAAAUUAGAGUGUUUAAAGCAAGCUAACGCUUGAAUACAUUAGCAUGGAAUAAUGAAAUAGGACGUUCGAUCCUGUUUUGUUGGUUUCUAGGAUUGACGUAAUGAUUAAUAGGGAUAGUUGGGGGCAUUAGUAUUCAAUUGUCAGAGGUGAAAUUCUUGGAUUUAUUGAAGACUAACUACUGCGAAAGCAUUUGCCAAGGAUGUUUUCAUUAAUCAAGAACGAAAGUUAGGGGAUCGAAGACGAUCAGAUACCGUCGUAGUCUUAACCAUAAACUAUGCCGACUAGGGAUCGGAUGAUGUUAAUUUUUUAAUGACUCAUUCGGCGCCUUACGGGAAAC